AACGAACGCUGGCGGCGUGCCUAAUACAUGCAAGUUGAGCGCUGAAGGUUGGUACUUGUACCGACUGGAUGAGCAGCGAGCGGGUGAGUAACGCGUGGGGAAUCUGCCUUUGAGCGGGGGACAACAUUUGGAAACGAAUGCUAAUACCGCAUAACAACUUUAAACACAAGUUUUAAGUUUGAAAGAUGCAAUUGCAUCACUCAAAGAUGAUCCCGCGUUGCAUUAGCUAGUUGGUGAGGUAAAGGCUCACCAAGGCGAUGAUACAUAGCCGACCUGCGCGGGUGAUCGGCCACAUGGGGACUGAGACACGGCCCAAAGUCUUACGGGGGGAAGCAGUAGGGAAUCUUCGGCAAUGGACGAAAGUCUGACCGAGCAACGCCGCGUGAGUGAAGAAGGUUUUCGGAUCGUAAAACUCUGUUGGUAGAGAAGAACGUUGGUGAGAGUGGAAAGCUCAUCAAGUGACGGUAACUACCCAGAAAGGGACGGCUAACUACGUGCCAGCAGCCGCCGUAA
rnacentral:rRNA from 1 species